CCACUUUGAUGCAUUUGGAUUUAGCAAUUUCAGUUAUUACGUACACGAGUCUUUCUUGAUUAUAUUGCUUUCAAUAUGGUUAUCAUAUCUACUCACAGUCAUCUCCCUUUUGCUGAAUAGAAUUGAGAAGCUGAAGCGUGGUUUUGGUAUGCACGUCCCUGAAGAGUUUAGGUAGCUGGAUAUAAUGCGGGGUUCCUGCAUUUCUAAUAAUCAGUUUAAUCACCUCCCUCGGAGCUACCUAUUGGAGGGCAAGUUUGUGAUUUCUACUGAACUUGACAUGGACGCUUUUUAAGUAGUACUUGGAGUGUUGGUGAGCAGCAGAUGUAGCACUCAAGCUGUGAUCACAUGAUCUUGUGGUUGUACUAUUGAUGACCUUGGUCCUACUAAUUCAGUUUAUUUGCUGAAAGCUAUGUUUGGAAAUGAUGCAAUCUGCCAGGCAACAAUAAUUUCUCUGGAGCCUGUACUUAUUAGUGUUAUUGUCUUGAUGUAUUUUCUCACCACGGGAAGCCUUAGGUAUACGUACAAUUAUCGGCUUGUAAUAUGUUCCUAGUGCUAUACUUCUCUAAUAUAUUUAUAUAUGUUACUCUUGCAUCUCUUCCUAGUAUCAUAUGGUGCUCUGCUUCCGUGAGCUUGUGUAUUAGAAGUUGUUAAAUAUUGUGUAUUAGAAGUUGUUAAAUAUUGAUUGGUGGCGGCCAUGUCUGCACCCGAGCUCAAAUGAGCUAUGUUGAACCAUAAAAUCAGAAAUAUAUAUAAAAAGAUCUAGUUUCAUUAUGGUAAACUAUGACAAAUGUUCUAAGAGUUUGCAAUAUUUCAUCACAAAAUCACAUUUGGAGUUGUAGCAAAAAAACAAAAUUGAUACUCUAAAAAUGCUAUUAUCGAAAGCAUUUUAAAGCACUAAUUUUGUUUUAUUGUCAUCACUUUCAUAAAUGUGAUUUAGUGAUGAAAUUUUGAAACCUUUUAGAACAUUUAUCAUAAAAAAGUUCAGCUUUUUUGAAAUAUUUUAAAUAUUUUCGGAGUUGUUAAUCUCGGCUUAUUUGAGCUCUGGUGUAGAAAGGCAUUUUUGACACGCUUGUUAUCUAUAUGACCAAAUCCUAACUGAGCUUGCUCGUAGUUGCGCAAAUUUGACAUUGCUUGUGGCACUCUGUGUUCAUAUCUUCGCUCUGUUGUUUGUCAUGGAAAAAAAUGUUGAUGUGGAACUAUUUUUUUUAGUACCGACCACAUUGAUGUUGUGGUGUGGAAGAAGGAUCAUCUUUCUCGUGAAUGGUGUUUUACGAGUUUCUAUGGAGCUUCGAAAGUCAAUGCUAAUCUCCGUUAGAGCGGUGUGGAGGCACAAUGCUCCCCAAGAUGCCACUAAGGCCACCGUAAUCUCCUCACGCCCUCGCACAAUGCAAGAUGCUGUGAUUCCACUAAGGGACCCUUGAGGGCGGUCACCGAACCCGUACAAAUGGCAAACCUUGGGGGCGGUCACCGAACCCGUACACGUGGCAACCCUUGGGGGUGGUUACCGGUACCCGUACAAAUUGCUCGGGGCUAUCUCCACAACCUAAUUGGAGGCCCCGACGCUUGCCCGGAGCUUCACACCACAAUGAUUGAGCUCCGAGCCACCACCAAGCUUCUAGGAUGCCAAAGCAUCCACGAAGAACAAUAUCUAGGGUACUAAGUACCAAAGGUAGUAAGCUUCUCAACUUCUCACUUCCACGUAUCACCGUGGAGAACUCAAACGAAGCAACUAAUGCAAUUGCAAGAACACACGAAGUGGUCAAGUCCCUCACACUCAAAUCCCUCCACAACAAAAAAGCUAUGGAGAAAUAUGAGAGGAAGAACAAGGAGCUCACAAAGAACUCCAAGAUCUAGAUCCAAGGGGUUCCCCUCACAUAGAGGAGAAAGUGAUUGGUGGAGAUGUGGAUCUAGAUCUCCUCUCUCUUUUCCCUCAAGAACAAGCAAGAAUCAUUCGAGGGAUUGAGAGUUAGCAAGCUCUAAGAAUGUCAACAAUGGAGGUAGAACAAGAGCUCAACGGAUAGAUCAGGCCAAGGGGGAAGAAGACCCCCUUUAUAUAGUGGGGGAAGGAAUGACACCGUUACCCCCACUAUCUGCCCGAGCUCCAGCGGUACUACCGCUGAUUGCAGCGGUACUAGCGCCAGCGAGUGGUACUACCACUGGCUGCAGCGGUACUACCGCUGGCCCGAGCGGUACUACCGCUGGGCCCCUGGUAGUGCAAAGGCACUACCAUCGCCAAGAAAGUCUUCGCAAAAAGGUCCGUCCACGAACAACCGCUAGGCAGGCGGUACUAAGCUCCUGGAGCGGUACUACCGUUGACCAAUGGCGGUACUACCGCCAACCAGCGGUACUACCGCUAGGGCUAGCGGUACUACCGCCAACUCUAGCGGUACUACCGCUAGGUCCCGCGGUACUACCGCUCGACACUGAAACAACCAUAACUUUCGGAUACGAGCUCCGAAUCGAGCAAACCCAAGCUUGUUGGAUUCAGGACGACAAGAGCUAUCCAAACAGCCUUUCUCAUGGCAAACAUCCUUUAGGAAGUGUACAUAGAUUUAACACUGAACCUCUUUUUUCCCUAGCAUCCACACCUUCAUCAGUCAAUGUGGUGGAGUGGCAAACAUCCAGUAGGUCUUGCCAUUGCACAACCAAUUCCCCCCGCAAGCAUCUAUGAGAUUGGAGACAUGUCCCUUGAGAGUGAACAACUUAUAAACAAUUGACAUUUUUGCCAAAUGUAAGGUUAUAUAGACUUUGAAAUCUGGAAAUAAUAGAUGGCAUCCAUGUGAUUGGCAAUUAAAACCAUGUUUGCUUAGUUUUGAGUCCGUCUGUUCUCGGUGGUGCGAGCUGAUGCUGCAUUUUGAGAUUGUGUACAUAAGACGGUAAGACUGUUUGUAGGAGGAACUGGCUAGAGCCAUGGAUAGCUUAAGGUGGAUACCAGCUAAGGGAAUGUAAUGGAAGAUAAUCCAUGGAUACCAGCUAAGGGAAUGUAAUGGAAGAUAAAUUCUACAAAGUUUGCCAUGGAUUUUGAGUCAUGUCCUAAGCCACGUAUACUCUAUGUGCCCCCUGGCUUUCUGUUGGGCCUUGUAUAUUUGGUUUCUGGGAAGUACCGAGUUAGAAGAAAACUGUGCUAAGUGCUUAACUAGCAUAUAUUACCAGCCAUCCUCGUUAGUGAAGUGCCAUUUGGAACACUAUUUUGAGCCAUAAUACACUUUUACCUAUGACAAUGACUUGUUUCUCCUAGUCACAACUCUCCAAUCUUUAGCAUGAACUAACCUUAUUAGACACUCAACUUUAACUGUACUUCCAAGUUUUUGAAGUUGAUUCGAGAAGUUCACUCUCUCCAAUCCAAGAUGUAGGUUUCUUUUAGAGUUGGGCACAGGAUUAAUAGUGUAGGUAGCAAUGUUACCAUUUAUUUGUUUCUACAAUAAAUACAAGUGCUAGAGUUUCUUUUGGCAGCACAAUCAAUACUAGAGUUAUUACUAAUACUCGAUGAAACUAAUGAGGCGCUAAAUAAGCACACCAUGAGCAGAAAUGUGAUGUACUACAGUACUAGGCCUUAUUUGUCAGUUGAAAAGGCUAAACCACAAUUUUCCGUAUUUCCCAGUCAUUGCUGCUAAAUCUCGUUAGACUAAAUUAUCAGUUCCUCUAUAUCCGCAACCCCAGCCUUCAAGUUCUAAACCUUAUCUAGUCUAGAUUAAAUGAAUAUCACAUGUCACAAAGUAAAGCGAAGCAAUUGGUCUUUCCUUGUGCUUUCUAUUGGAACAGUCUCUUUCUAUCUGUGUUCCUGUAUUAUUCAGCUGCCACAUUUUGGUUCUUUAAUUGUCAACAAGUCCAAGUUUUUGCAGCCACUUUGAUGCAUUUGGAUUUAGCAAUUUCAGUUAUUACGUACACGAGUCUUUCUUGAUUAUAUUGCUUUCAAUAUGGUUAUCAUAUCUACUCACAGUCAACUCCCUUUUGCUGAAUAGAAUUGAGAAGCUGAAACGUGGUUUUGGUAUGCACAUCCCUGAAGAGUUUAGGUAGCUGGAUAUAAUGCGGGGUUACUGCAUUUCUAAUAAUCAGUUUAAUCACCUCCCUCGGAGCUAGCUAUUGGAGGGCAAGUUUGUGAUUUCUGCUGAACUUGACAUGGACGCUUUUUAAGUAGUACUUGGAGUGUUGGUGAGCAGCAGAUGUAGCACUCAAGCUGUGAUCACAUGAUCUUGUGGUUGUACUAUUGAUGACCUUGGUCCUACUAAUUCAGUUUAUUUGCUGAAAGCUAUGUUUGGAAAUGAUGCAAUCUGCCAGGCAACACUAAUUUCUCUGCAGCCUGUACUUAUGAGUGUUAUUGUCUUGAUGUAUUUUCUCACCACGGGAAGCCUUAGGUAUACGUAAAAUUAUCGUCUUGUAAUAUGUUCCUAGUGCUAUACUUCUCUAAUAUAUUUAUAUAUGUAAAUAUAUAUGUUACUCUUGUAUCAUCUCUUCCUAGUAUCAUAUGGUGCUUUGCUUCCGUGAUCUUGUGUAUUAGAAGUUGUUAACUAUUGUGUAUUAGAAGUUGUUAAAUAUUCAUUGGUGGCGGCCAUGUCUGCACCCGAGCUCAAAUGAGCUAUGUUGAACCGUAAAAUCAGAAAUAUAUAUAAAAAGAUCUAGUUUCAUUAUGGUAAACUAUGACAAAUGUUCUAAGAGUUUGCAAUAUUUCAUCACAAAAUCACAUUUGGAGUUGUAGCGAAAAAACAAAAUUGAUACUCUAAAAAUGCUAUUAUGAAAGCAUUUUAAAGCACUAAUUUUGUUUUUUCGUCAUCACUUUCAUAAAUGUGAUUUAGUGAUGAAAUUUUGAAACCUUUUAGAACAUUUAUCAUAAAAAAGUUCAGCUUUUUUGAAAUAUUUUAAAUAUUUUCGGAGUUGUUAAUCUCGGCUUAUUUGAGCUCUGGUGUAGAAAGGCAUUUUUGACACGCUUGUUAUCUAUAUGACCAACUCCUAACUGAGCUUGCUCGUAGUUGCGCAAAUUUGAAAUUGCUUGUGGCACUCUGUGUUCAUAUCUUCGCUCUGUUGUUCUUCAUGGAAAAAAAUGUUGAUGUGGAACUAUUUUUUUAGUACCGACCACAUUGAUGUUGUGGUGUGGAAGAAGGAUCAUCUUUCUCGUGAAUGGUGUUUUACGAGUUUCUAUGGAGCUUCGAAAGUCAAUGCUAAUCUCCGUUAGAGCGGUGUGGAGGCACAAUGCUCCCCAAGAUGCCACUAAGGCCACCGUAAUCUCCUCACGCCCUCGCACAAUGCAAGAUGCCGUGAUUCCACUAAGGGACCCUUGAGGGCGGUUACCGAACCCGUACAAAUGGCAAACCUUGGGGGCGGUCACCGAACCCGUACACGUGGCAACCCUUGGGGGCGGUUACCGGUACCCGUACAAAUUGCUCGGGGCUAUCUCCACAACCUAAUUGGAGGCCCCAACACUUUCCCGGAGCUUCACACCACAAUGAUUGAGCUCCGAGACACCACCAAGCUUCUAGGAUGCCAAAUCAUCCACGAAGAACAAUAUCUAGGGUACUAAGUACCAAAGGUAGUAAGCUUCUCAACUUUUCACUUCCACGUAUCACCGUGGAGAACUCAAACCGAUGCAACUAAUGCAAUGGGAAGAACACACGAAGUGGUCAAGUCCCUCACACUCAAAUCCCUCCACAACAACAAAAGCUAUGGAGAAAUAUGAGAGGAAGAAUAAGGAGCUCACAAAGAACUCCAAGAUCUAGAUCCAAGGGGUUCCCCUCACAUAGAGGAGAAAGUGAUUGGUGGAGAUGUGGAUCUAGAUCUCCUCUCUCAUUUCCCUCAAGAACAAGCAAGAAUCAUUGGAGGGAUUGAGAGUUAGCAAGCUCUAAGAAUGUCAACAAUGGAGGUAGAACAAGAGCUCAACGGAUAGAUGAGGCCAAGGGGGAAGAAGACCCCCUUUAUAUAGUGGGGGAAGGAAUCAGACCGUUACCCCCACUAUCUGCCCGAGCUCCAGCGGUACUACCGCUGGCUGCAGCGGUACUACCGCUGGCACUCCAGCGGUACUACCGCUGAUUGCAGCGGCACUACCGCCAGCUAGCGGUACUACCGCUGGCACUCCAGUGGUACUACCGCUGGCCCCAGCGGUACUACCGCUGGGCCUCUGGUAGUGCAAAGGCACUACCACCGCCAAGAUAGUCUUCGCAAAAAGGUCCGUCCAUGAACAACCGCUAGGCAGGCGGUACAAAGCUCCUGGAGCGGUACUACCGCUGACCGUGGCGGUACUACCGCCAACUCUAGCGGUACUACCGCUAGGUCCAGCGGUACUACCGCUCGCCACUGAAACAGCCACAACUUUCGCAUACGAGCUCCGAAUCGAGCAAACCCAAGCUUGUUGGAUUCAGGACGACAAGAGCUAUCCAAACAACCUUUCUCAUGGCAAACAUCCUUUAGGAAGUGUACAUAGAUUUAACACUGAACCCCUUUUUUACCUAGCAUCCACACCUUCAUCAGUCAAUGUGGUGGAGUGGCAAACAUCCAGUAGGUCUUGCCAUUGCACAGCCAAUUCCCCCCGCAAGCAUCUAUGAGAUUGGAGACAUGUCCCUUGAGAGUGAACAACUUAUAAAAAUUGACAUUUUUGCCAAAUGUAAGGUUAUAUAGACUUUGAAAUCUGGAAAUAAUAGAUGGCAUCCAUGUGAUUGGCAAUUAAAACCAUGUUUGCUUAGUUUUGAGUCCGUCUGUUCUCGGUGGUGCGAGCUCAUGCUGCAUUUUGAGAUUGUGUACAUAAGACGGUAAGACUGUUUGUAGGAGGAACUGGCUAGAGCCAUGGAUAGCUUAAGGUGGAGAAACAAGUGAAAAUCCAUGGAUACCAGCUAAGCGAAUGUAAUGGAAGAUAAUCCAUGGAUACCAGCUAAGGGAAUGUAAUGGAAGAUAAAUUCUACACAGUUUGCCAUGGGUUUUGAGUCAUGUCCUAAGCCACGUAUACUCUAUGUGCCCGCUGGCUUUCUGUUGGGCCUUGUAUAUUUGGUUUCUGGGAAGUACCGAGUUAGAAGAAAACUGUGCUAAGUGCUUACCUAGCAUAUAUUACCAGCCAUCCUCGUUAAGUGAAGUGCCAUUUGGAACACUAUUUUGAGCCAUAAUACACUUUUACCUAUGACAAUGACUUGUUUCUCCUAGUCACAACUCUCCAAUCUUUAGCAUGAACUACCCUUAUUAGACACUCAACUUUAACUGUACUUCCAAGUUUUUGAAGUUGAUUCGAGAAGUUCACUCUCUCCAAUCCAGGAUGUAGGUUUCUUUUAGAGUUGGGCACACGAUUAAUGGUGUAGGUAGCAAUGUUACCAUUUAUUUGUCUCUACAAUAAAUACAAGUGCUAGAGUUUCUUUUGGCAGCACAAUCAAUACUAGAGUUAUUACUAAUACUUGAUGAAACUAAUGAGGCGCUAAAUAAGCACACCAUGAGAAGAAAUGUGAUGUACUACAAUACUAGGCCUUAUUUGUCAGUUGAAAAGGCUAAACCACAAUUUUCCGUAUUUGCCAGUCCUUGCUGCUAAAUCUCGUUAGACUAAAUUAUCAGUUCCUCUAUAUCCGCAACCCCAGCCUUCAAGUUCUAAACCUUAUCUAGUCUAGAUUAAAUAAAUAUCACAUGUCACAAAGUAAAGCGAAGCAAUUGGUCUUUCCUUGUGCUUUCUAUUGGAACAGUCUCUUUCUAUCUGUGUUCCUGUAUUAUUCAGCUGCCACAUUUUGGUUCUUUAAUUGUCAACAAGUCCAAGUUUUUGCAGCCACUUUGAUGCAUUUGGAUUUAGCAAUUUCAGUUAUUACGUACACGAGUCUUUCUUGAUUAUAUUGCUUUCAAUAUGGUUAUCAUAUCUACUCACAAUCAUCUCCCUUUUGCUGAAUAGAAUUGAGAAGCUAAAGCGUGGUUUUGGUAUGCACGUCCCUGAAGAGUUUAGGUAGCUGGAUAUAAUGCGGGGUUCCUGCAUUUCUAAUAAUCAGUUUAAUCACCUCCCUCGGAGCUACCUAUUGGAGGGCAAGUUUGUGAUUUCUACUGAACUUGACAUGGACGCUUUUUAAGUAGUACUUGGAGUGUUGGUGAGCAGCAGAUGUAGCACUCAAGUUGUGAUCACAUGAUCUUGUGGUUGUACUAUUGAUGACCUUGGUCCUACUAAUUCAGUUUAUUUGCUGAAAGCUAUGUUUGAAAAUGAUGCAAUCUGCCAGGCAGCACUAAUUUCUCUGCAGCCUGUACUUCUGAGUGUUAUUGUCUUGAUGUAUUUUCUCACCAUGGGAAGCCUUAGGUAUACGUACAAUUAUCGGCUUGUAAUAUGUUCCUAGUGCUAUACUUCUCUAAUAUAUUUAUAUAUGUAAAUAUAUAUGUUACUCUUGUAUCA
rnacentral:lncRNA from 1 species